rnacentral:rRNA from 1 species
AUGUGUAAGAGCACAUGCAGAGACGCCACGGUCAGAUUUGCUACAACGGUGGUCGAGGUGUUUGGACCUCAGUACUCGAGAGAACAAACUAAAGCAGACACCGAGAGACUCUUGGCAACGCCUGAAGGCAAGCUCGUCCUUGCAACUAUACUGUCAAUGGACAUCAGUACAACAUGUGCUAGUAUUUGGUUGAUGGUAUUUAUUAUACAUGGGCUACCUUCGUCAAGACCAUCUCUAAGCCAGUUGGGCAGAAAAGAUCUCACUGUGCCCAAAGAUGAGAAGGAGCUAGAAAUGAUGUGGAGAGGGCAUUUGGAGUGCUCCAAGCCCAUUUUGCAAUUCUUUGUGGACCUGCUAAAUAGUGGGACCCAGGAACCUUGUGGAAAGUGA